rnacentral:rRNA from 1 species
GGACGAACGCUGGCGGCGUGCCUAACACAUGCAAGUCGAGCGAGGAGAUUCCUCGGGAUGAUCCUAGCGGCGGACGGGUGAGUAACACGUGGGCAACCUGCCUCAUAGAGAGGAAUAGCCUUCCGAAAGGGAGAUUAAUACCUCAUAACAUUGCAGUUUCGCAUGGAACAGCAAUUAAAGGAGCAAUCCACUAUGAGAUGGGCCCGCGGCGCAUUAGCUAGUUGGUGAGGUAACGGCUCACCAAGGCGACGAUGCGUAGCCGACCUGAGAGGGUGAUCGGCCACAUUGGGACUGAGACACGGCCCAGACUCCUACGGGAGGCAGCAGUGGGGAAUAUUGCACAAUGGGGGAAACCCUGAUGCAAGCAACGCCGCGUGAGUGAUGACGGCCUUCGGGUUGUAAAGCUCUGUCUUCAGGGACGAUAAUGACGGUACCUGAGGAGGAAGCCACGGCUAACUACGUGCCAGCCGCAGC